rnacentral:snRNA from 13 species
AUACUUACUUGGUAGGGGAGAUACCAAGAUCACCAAGGUGGUUUCCCAGGGCGAGGCUUAUUCAUUACACUCCG